CAGCCUCACUUAUGGGUCAGACCCCCACUUAUGGGGCAGCCCCACACUUAUGGGUCAGCCCCACUUAUAAGCCGUACUCCCACUUAUGGGGCAGCCUCACUUAUGGGUCAGACCCCCACUUAUGGGUCAGACACCCACUUAGGGGGCAGCCCCACACUUAGGGGGCGGACCCCCACUUAUGGGGCGGACCCCCACUUAUGGGGCAGCCCCACACUUAUGGGUCAGUCUCCCACUUAUGGGUUGGACCCACACUUAUGGGUCAGACACCCACUUAGGGGGCAGCCCCACACUUAUGGGGCGGACCCCCACUUAUGGGGCAGCCCCACACUUAUGGGUCAGCCCCACACUUAUGGGUCAGUCUCCCACUUGUGGGUUGGACCCACACUUAUGGGUCAGACACCCACUUAGGGGGCAGCCCCACACUUAGGGGGCAGCCCCACACUUAUGGGGCGGACCCCCACUUAUGGGGCAGCCCCACACUUAUGGGUCAGCCCCACACUUAUGGGUCAGUCUCCCACUUAUGGGUUGGACCCACACUUAUGGGUCGGACCCACACUUAUGGGUCAGACCCCUACUUAUGGGUCAGACCCCCACUUAUGGGGCAGCCCCACACCUCAGCAUCCCCCGCAGUCUCCGCCGUCGAUCCCUCAGCGCCUGCAGCACCGCAUCCUCCGCCGCCUCCGCCUCAUCCGAAUCUGUGGGGCACAGAGCAAAUGUGGGGCAGCACAUGUGGGGCUGCCCCAUAAGUGGGGGUCAGACCCAUAAGUGUGGGGCUGCCCCGUAAGUGUGGGGCUGCCCCGUAAGUGUGCGUAUGGCCUAUAAGUGGG
ensembl:lncRNA